rnacentral:rRNA from 1 species
UACGGAGGGGGCUAGCGUUGUUGGGAAUUACUGGGCGUAAAGCGCGCGUAGGCGGACCUGCAAGUCGGGGGUGAAAGCCCGAGGCUCAACCUCGGAACUGCCUUCGAUACUGCGGGUCUCGAGUCCGGGAGAGGUGAGUGGAAUUCCUAGUGUAGAGGUGAAAUUCGUAGAUAUUAGGGAGAACACCAGUGGCGAAGGCGGCUCACUGUCCCGGUACUGACGCUGGGGAGCGAAAGCGUGGGGAGCAGACAGG